CCUACGGGUGGCAGCAGUGAGGAAUAUUGGUCAAUGGCCGGAAGGCUGAACCAGCCAUGCCGCGUGAAGGUCAGUGCCCCAUGGGCGUUAAACUUCUUUUGUGCGGGAGCAAUAAUGGUCACGUGUGGCCAGACGAGAGUACCGUACGAAUAAGCAUCGGCUAACUCCGGGCCAGCAGCCGCGGUAAUACGGGGGAUGCAAGCGUUAUCCGGAUUUAUUGGGUUUAAAGGGUGCGUAGGGUGUGAGGUAAGUCAGCGGUGAAAUGCCGCCGCUCAACGGGGUGACGAGCCAUUGAUACUGCCUUGCUGGAAUGCGGAUGAGGUGGGAGGAAUGUGUGGUGUAGCGGUGAAAUGCAUAGAUAUCACACAGAACACCGAUUGCGAAGGCAGCUCACGGAUCCGCGAUUGACGCUGAUGCACGAAAGCGUGGGUAUCAAACAGGAUUAGAUACCCGGGUAGUC
rnacentral:rRNA from 1 species